rnacentral:rRNA from 1 species
UUAAGUCGACCGCCUGGGGAGUACGGCCGCAAGGUUAAAACUCAAAUGAAUUGACGGGGGCCCGCACAAGCGGUGGAGCAUGUGGUUUAAUUCGAUGCAACGCGAAGAACCUUACCUGGUCUUGACAUCCACGGAAGUUUUCAGAGAUGAGAAUGUGCCUUCGGGAACCGUGAGACAGGUGCUGCAUGGCUGUCGUCAGCUCGUGUUGUGAAAUGUUGGGUUAAGUCCCGCAACGAGCGCAACCCUUAUCCUUUGUUGCCAGCGGUCCGGCCGGGAACUCAAAGGAGACUGCCAGUGAUAAACUGGAGGAAGGUGGGGAUGACGUCAAGUCAUCAUGGCCCUUACGACCAGGGCUACACACGUGCUACAAUGGCGCAUACAAAGAGAAGCGACCUCGCGAGAGCAAGCGGACCUCAUAAAGUGCGUCGUAGUCCGGAUUGGAGUCUGCAACUCGACUCCAUGAAGUCGGAAUCGCUAGUAAUCGUGGAUCAGAAUGCCACGGUGAAUACGUUCCCGGGCCUUGUACACACCGCCCGUCACACCAUGGGAGUG